UACAGAGGGUGCAAGCGUUAAUCGGAAUUACUGGGCGUAAAGCGUGCGCAGGCGGUGAUGUAAGACAGUUGUGAAAUCCCCGGGCUCAACCUGGGAAUUGCAUCUGUGACUGCAUCGCUAGAGUACGGUAGAGGGGGAUGGAAUUCCGCGUGUAGCAGUGAAAUGCGUAGAUAUGCGGAGGAACACCGAUGGCGAAGGCAAUCCCCUGGGCCUGCACUGACGCUCAUGCACGAAAGCGUGGGGAGCAAACAGG
rnacentral:rRNA from 1 species